GGGCGAAUGGUCUAGGGGUAUGAUACUCCCUUCGCAUACAAAUCAUCCCAAAAUCUAGGAUUAUAAUGCUUGGGAGGGGUCCGGGGUUCAAUUCCCCGUUCGUCCA